rnacentral:rRNA from 1 species
AUGAACGCUGUCGGCGUGCCUAAUACAUGCAAGUCGAGCGAACAGACGAGGAGCUUGCUCCUCUGACGUUAGCGGCGGACGGGUGAGUAACACGUGGAUAACCUACCUAUAAGACUGGGAUAACUUCGGGAAACCGGAGCUAAUACCGGAUAAUAUAUUGAACCGCAUGGUUCAAUAGUGAAAGACGGUUUUGCUGUCACUUAUAGAUGGAUCCGCGCCGCAUUAGCUAGUUGGUAAGGUAACGGCUUACCAAGGCAACGAUGCGUAGCCGACCUGAGAGGGUGAUCGGCCACACUGGAACUGAGACACGGUCCAGACUCCUACGGGAGGCAGCAGUAGGGAAUCUUCCGCAAUGGGCGAAAGCCUGACGGAGCAACGCCGCGUGAGUGAUGAAGGUCUUCGGAUCGUAAAACUCUGUUAUUAGGGAAGAACAAAUGUGUAAGUAACUAUGCACGUCUUGACGGUACCUAAUCAGAAAGCCACGGCUAACUACGUG